UACAGAGGUGGCAAGCGUUGUUCGGAAUUACUGGGCGUAAAGGGCGCGUAGGCGGCCUUCUAAGUCAGACGUGAAAUCCCCCGGCUUAACCUGGGAACUGCGUCUGAUACUGGAGGGCUUGAGUAUGGGAGAGGGAUGUAGAAUUCCAGGUGUAGCGGUGAAAUGCGCAGAUAUCAGGAGGAACACCGGUGGCGAAGGCGGUUCUCUGGGCAUUACCUGACGCUGAGGAGCGAAAGUGUGGGGAGCGAACAGG
rnacentral:rRNA from 1 species